UUUUGUAUAUGAACUUGCUUCAAAAAGCGAAAGAGGUUGCAACAAAGAGUCCCUCCCGACUGUUUACCAAAAACACAGCACUUUGCUAACACGUAAGUGGAUGUAUAAGGUGUGACGCCUGCCCGGUGCUCGAAGGUUAACUGAUGAUGUCAGCGCAAGCGAAGCAUUUGAUUGAAGCCCGAGUAAACGGCGGCCGUAACUAUAACGGUCCUAAGGUAGCGAAAUUCCUUGUCGGUUAAAUACCGACCUGCAUGAAUGGCGUAACGAGAUGGGAGCUGUCUCAACCAGGGAUCCAGUGAAAUUGUAGUGGAGGUGAAAAUUCCUCCUACCCGCGGAAAGACGGAAAGACCCCGUGCACCUUUACUACAGCUUGACACUGUAGCUUGGAUAUUCAUGUGCAGGAUAGGUGGGAGGCUAUGAUGACUAGACGCCAGUAGAGUCGGAGCCAUCCUUGAGAUACCACCCUUGAAUAUUUGAGUUACUAACUGCGUACAAUUAUCUUGUAUCAGGACAAUGUCUGGUGGGUAGUUUGACUGGGGCGGUCGCCUCCUAAAAAGUAACGGAGGCUUACAAAGGUUAGU
rnacentral:rRNA from 1 species